rnacentral:sRNA from 1 species
GCCAGGAUGGGGGGCGCACGCCUGUAAUCCCAGCAACUUGGGAGGCUGAGGCAGGAGGAUCACAGGUUUCAGGCCAGCAUGGACAACUUAGUGAGACCCUUUCUCAA